GACGAACGCUGGCGGCGUGCUUAACACAUGCAAGUCGAACGGAAAGGCCCUGCUUUUGUGGGGUGCUCGAGUGGCGAACGGGUGAGUAACACGUGAGUAACCUGCCCUUGACUUUGGGAUAACUUCAGGAAACUGGGGCUAAUACCGGAUAGGAGCUCCUGCUGCAUGGUGGGGGUUGGAAAGUUUCGGCGGUUGGGGAUGGACUCGCGGCUUAUCAGCUUGUUGGUGGGGUAGUGGCUUACCAAGGCUUUGACGGGUAGCCGGCCUGAGAGGGUGACCGGCCACAUUGGGACUGAGAUACGGCCCAGACUCCUACGGGAGGCAGGAGUGGGGAAUAUUGCACAAUGGGCGGAAGGCUGAUGCAGCAACGCCGCGUGCGGGAUGACGGCCUUCGGGUUGUAAACCGCUUUCGCCUGUGACGAAGCGUGAGUGACGGUAAUGGGCAAAGAAGCACCGGCUAACUACGU
rnacentral:rRNA from 1 species